CCCAAAAUGAUGACAGUCCCCAGUCCUGUGCCAAUGGAUCUGAUUUCAGCGCUCCCUACACUUCCUUGUUCCUUCAGCUCCAUGACCUGGUAUCCUUCACUGGCACCCUACCCCUGGCAGGGGUAAGGUGCCAGUGGUGACAUGGCAGGGGUAAGGUGCCAGUGGUGACAUGGCAGGGGUAAGGUGCCAGUGGUGACAUGGCAGGGGUAGGAUGCCAGUGGUGACAUGGCAGGGGUAGGGUGCCAGUGGUGACAUGGCAGGGGUAAGGUGCCAGUGGUGAACAGGAAAAUGAGGAAGAAAAGCAGCUAAGAAUGUGUUUCAGAUGAACAAUCAAAGACCGACUCCAAAUAAAUAGCAAGUCGUUUAUAUGGAAAUAUC